GACGUAGCCAGGCCAGGCCGAUAGCGGAGCCCGGACUUAGGCCGGUCCAUCUCGCCCGUUAGAUUAGUGCGUUAGCGUCAGCGUGUGAGCGGUUAAUAGCACCGAGCACCGUCGCCACAAGCGACCGGUUGGUGGUCGUCUACCGUUGUAUCGCGGAUCCCCGUCUCAUCGUCCCUGUGUCGCACGUACGUCCGGUGCGCCGCCUAAUCGGAGCGCAGUACAGCGAGAGAGUGCGCAUCGUCCAGUCCCAGGGAGCAGCCGGCUGGCACAACCAACGAUGGUCGUGAAAAUCUACAUAUCGGGUAUCAGCGGCAACAAGGAAGUAAAGAAAAGACAACAACGUGUCUUGAUGAUUCUAGAUAGCAAAAAUGUGGAAUAUGAGAUUAUCGAUAUCACAGAACCAGGCAAGGAGCUAGACAAAGAAUUUAUGCAAGCUAACAGUAAUGCCAGGUCCAACAAGUAUCCACUGCCACCACAAAUAUUUAACGAAGACGAUUAUUGCGGAGAUUAUGAAGACUUUGAUGUAUCAAACGAAAUAGAUGAACUGGAAAAGUUUCUGAAAGUGACACCAGCAGUCAGUACUGCGGAAAUCACUCUCGACUCAAAAUCUCAGAGUAAUGAAAUUCAAGAGAAUGGAAAUACUUCAAGUCGAGAGCUUUCUGCGGAGAAGGAAGCGGAUGCUGUCUCUGACAGUUUACCAGAAAGAACGACUCUAGAAAGCGAGAAUAAAGCAUUAGAUGAUUCUAAACCAACUGAAGUAGAUAGCGCGGCAAAAACUGUUACUAGCGAUGAAGGUGCUGAAGAGAGUGGCGAUAAAAAUGAGGAGAAGUCCGACGAUCAAGAGAAAGAGGAAUAGAUACGAGAUAAGCCCAUGUAAAGCUGGGAUAUUCCACAUGACAUCCUUCCUUUUCCACCCACAAGCAUAUUUUGCAAAGCUACGUUUAUUACAUUACUAAGGCUGAAUGAAGAUCAAACGCGUCUCUUCACCAAUGUUUCGCAACAGGUCUGAUUAGGUGAUAUGAGACAAUUCCUUCAUAUCGCUACCUUUGUACAUGUCUUCACGUUUGUCCAUUAUUUUGCAUUAUUUUACACUGCACUGCACUUAAUACAUUAUAGCAAUCCCGAUAGUGAAAUUGAAGUCAUAUAUUUUUCUUUUAUGCGCACGCAACUCUGUUGCCGCGUGCAAAGCGUAUAAUUAUGAAUGUAGGAUAUAGCAACGCACGCAUAUACACAAUAUCAUUUGAGACAUACGGGAAUAAAUGCAUAGAUAUAAAAUUUGUAUUAUAAUCAGAUUUUUUUUUAUGUUUAAAUAUAACUGAUUGUUAUACACAUGAGAAAAUUUUGAUAUUUAUAUUGUACUGUACUCUUUAAUCAAACGUACACGCAGUAUUAAGGAUAGUUUUGUCUUAUGGAACUUCUUAUAUUUGAAUAUUUUAUUGCGUUAAGAUAAUCAAACAGUCUUUCCAAAUGCGCUAUAAAAAAGUUAUCGAUUUCUUCAAGUUAUUAUAUAUUGUAUGUAUUAGAAUUUUAGAAUUAAGGAAGAAACAAAAAAAAAAAGAGAUUCCUACAAUUUUUAUAAAUCAAUUAUAAAUAUCUUAUUUGCGGUAUAAGAGCAACUAAUCGUUCUCGGUUCUUGUUAACAAAAUUAUACGCAUCAGUGGUGUAUAUGACUCACGGCAUGACAUAAUUUCAUUGAUAUAUGUGUAUAUGAUUCAUGCUUAUUCAACACAAUCCAGCCCUCAGAAUCUUUUGUUGAUUUCGAAACUUGAAAAGAAUUCUAUUUACAAAAGAACAAAAAUUUAAGACUUAUGUUGUUUUGUCUAUAAAUUAUAUUGUAAUAUAUAAAAGUUUAUAAAAAAAAUUCUCACAACUGCUGCUAUUGGGACAAGCACAAUAAAUUUUUGCUAAUAUAUGAGAGAUCUUUCGUUCACACAAAACAAACGGAACACGCGAUAAAAAAAGUUUACUCGUGUAAUCUCUAUUGUUUUUCAAAAUAAUUUAUUCUAAAAUAAUACGGUAAUGGCAGUUGGAACAAUUGAGAGGCCUAUAAAUUAUUCUUCCACUUACUUUAAUCAUAAUACUUUCUUCCUCUAUUAUGCUGCGAAAAAGUAAUAUGUUGCGAGACGAUUAAUAUUAAAUCUUUCAUCGCUUAUCUUUCUCUCUAUUGUUUAAACGAUACUAUUAUAAAAAAUUAAGCUUUACGCAUUCGCUACAAAUUGCUUUGUUAUACAACAAAUAAAUAAAAUAAAACAUUAUUUUUGCUAUUAUA
rnacentral:misc_RNA from 1 species